GGACGUGUCAUGAUUUGUGUGGUUCGAGGUGCCAUGUGACAGGUUUGAAACCUUCAAGUGGCCCCAUUCAAAGUCGUUCUAAUGGGCUCGGCGAUCAGCAGUGCUUGGGAACUUUCAUUUUGUGUUAGUAU
ensembl:ncRNA F32B5.14 ncRNA